UACGUAGGGGGCAAGCGUUGUCCGGAUUUAUUGGGCGUAAAGAGCGUGUAGGCGGCUAGGUAGGUCCGUUGUGAAAACUCGAGGCUCAACCUCGAGACGCCGGUGGAAACCAUCUAGCUAGAGUCCGGAAGAGGAGAGUGGAAUUCCUGGUGUAGCGGUGAAAUGCGCAGAUAUCGGGAGGAACACCGGUGGCGAAGGCGGAUCUCUGGGCCAUUACUGACGCUGAGGAGCGAAAGCGUGGGGAGCGAACAGG
rnacentral:rRNA from 1 species